GAGGGUAUAGCUCAAGUAGUAGAGCACGUGCUUACCACACAUGAGGUCCUGGGUUCCAUCCCCAGUACUUCCU
rfam:Camelus ferus unplaced genomic scaffold scaffold954, whole genome shotgun sequence.